rnacentral:rRNA from 1 species
ACCUUACCCACCUUUGACAUGUACGGAAUCCUUUAGAGAUAGAGGAGUGCUCGAAAGAGAGCCGUAACACAGGUGCUGCAUGGCUGUCGUCAGCUCGUGUCGUGAGAUGUUGGGUUAAGUCCCGCAACGAGCGCAACCCUUGCCAUUAGUUGCUACGAAAGGGCACUCUAAUGGGACUGCCGGUGACAAACCGGAGGAAGGUGGGGAUGACGUCAAGUCCUCAUGGCCCUUAUAGGUGGGGCUACACACGUCAUACAAUGGCUGGUACAGAGGGUUGCCAACCCGCGAGGGGGAGCUAAUCCCAUAAAACCAGUCGUAGUCCGGAUCGCAGUCUGCAACUCGACUGCGUGAAGUCGGAAUCGCUAGUAAUCGCGGAUCAGCUUGCCGCGGUGAAUACGUUCCCGGGCA